GCGAAUGGUGGAUGCCUUGACUGGUAAAGGCGAUGAAGGACGUACUAGACUGCGAUAAGCUACGGGGAGCUGUCAAGAAGCUUUGAUCCGUAGAUUUCCGAAUGGGGCAACCCAAUGUAUAGAGAUAUACAUUACCUAUAUAGGAGCGAACGAGGGGAAUUGAAACAUCUUAGUACCCUCAGGAAAAGAAAUCAAUAGAGAUUGCGUCAGUAGCGGCGAGCGAAAGCGCAAGAGGGCAAACCCAGUGCUUGCACUGGGGGUUGUAGGACUGCAAUGUGCAAGAGGUAAGUUUAGCAGAACAUUCUGGAAAGUAUAACCAUAGAGGGUGAUAGUCCCGUAUGCGAAAAACAAACCUUAGCUAGCAGUAUCCUGAGUAGGGCGGGACACGAGGAAUCCUGUCUGAAUCCGGGUCGACCACGAUCCAACCCUAAAUACUAAUACCAGAUCGAUAGUGCACAAGUACCGUGAGGGAAAGGUGAAAAGAACUGAGGUGAUCAGAGUGAAAUAGAACCUGAAACCAUUUGCUUACAAUCAUUCAGAGCCCUAUGUAGCAAUACAGGGUGAUGGACUGCCUUUUGCAUAAUGAGCCUGCGAGUUGUGGUGUCUGGCAAGGUUAAGCAAACGCGAAGCCGUAGCGAAAGCGAGUCUGAAUAGGGCGCUUAGUCAGAUGCUGCAGACCCGAAACGAAGUGAUCUAUCCAUGAGCAAGUUGAAGCUAGUGUAAGAACUAGUGGAGGACUGAACCCAUAGGCGUUGAAAAGCCCCGGGAUGACUUGUGGAUAGGGGUGAAAGGCCAAUCAAACUUCGUGAUAGCUGGUUCUCUCCGAAAUAUAUUUAGGUAUAGCGUUGUGUCGUAAUAUAAGGGGGUAGAGCACUGAAUGGGCUAGGGCAUACACCAAUGUACCAAACCCUAUCAAACUCCGAAUACCUUAUAUGUAAUCACAGCAGUCAGGCGGCGAGUGAUAAAAUCCGUCGUCAAGAGGGAAACAACCCAGACUACCAGCUAAGGUCCCUAAAUCUUACUUAAGUGGAAAACGAUGUGAAGUUACUUAAACAACCAGGAGGUUGGCUUAGAAGCAGCCAUCCUUUAAAGAAAGCGUAAUAGCUCACUGGUCUAGUGAUUUUGCGCGGAAAAUAUAACGGGGCUAAAGUAAGUACCGAAGCUGUAGACUUAGUUUACUAAGUGGUAGGAGAGCGUUCUAUUUGCGUCGAAGGUAUACCGGUAAGGAGUGCUGGAGCGAAUAGAAGUGAGCAUGCAGGCAUGAGUAGCGAUAAUUAAUGUGAGAAUCAUUAACGCCGUAAACCCAAGGUUUCCUACGCGAUGCUCGUCAUCGUAGGGUUAGUCGGGUCCUAAGUCGAGUCCGAAAGGGGUAGACGAUGGCAAAUUGGUUAAUAUUCCAAUACCAACAUUAGUGUGCGAUGGAAGGACGCUUAGGGCUAAGGGGGCUAGCGGAUGGAAGUGCU
rnacentral:rRNA from 1 species